AUUGAACGCUGGCGGCAUGCCUUACACAUGCAAGUCGAACGGUAACAGGUCUUCGGAUGCUGACGAGUGGCGAACGGGUGAGUAAUACAUCGGAACGUGCCCGAUCGUGGGGGAUAGCGAGGCGAAAGCUUUGCUAAUACCGCAUACGAUCUACGGAUGAAAGCGGGGGAUCUUCGGACCUCGCGGGGACGGAGCGGCCGAUGGCAGAUUAGGUAGUUGGUGGGAUAAAAGCUUACCAAGCCGACGAUCUGUAGCUGGUCUGAGAGGAUGAUCAGCCACACUGGGACUGAGACACGGCCCAGACUCCUACGGGAGGCAGCAGUGGGGAAUUUUGGACAAUGGGCGAAAGCCUGAUCCAGCCAUGCCGCGUGCAGGAUGAAGGCCUUUGGGUUGUAAACUGCUUUUGUACGGAACGAAAAGCCUCUUUCUAAUAAAGAGGGGUCAUGACGGUACCGUAAGAAUAAGCACCGGCUAACUACGUG
rnacentral:rRNA from 1 species